GACCUUGUACUCCAUUGGACCUCUAAUUUGUCAAAUUGGACAAAAUUUUGGAGAAAGUAGUUCCUUUGGGAGAUUUUUGCAAAUCUUCUUUGACCUGGACCAGGUUCCUCUCUAGUUGAUAGUUUCUAUUUAAGUAGGAUGCAAAAUGUUUUUCAAAAUUUUUUAACCUCUUCUCAAGUUCUAGUUGAAUACUACUAGCUUUCCCCUUUCUGUUAGAUUGAUCUACAUAAAAUCUCAAUAUUUUUUCUUUGAUAUCAUUAUUUUUUUGACAACACACUUAGCUUUUCCCCCCAACUUCGACACUUUAGCAACAAAUAGCAGUUUUUUUAUUUUAAACACCUCAAGAGUUUCACCCCAGUGAUCCUUCUCAUUAGUAAGAUCAACUAAUGAGUCUAUCAAAAUAGUUUCUAGAUCUUUGAGCCUUUUUAAAGAGUAAUUAUUGAGAUUUUAUUUGAUAUCAAGAAGAGUUACCUUUCUUUCAUCUUCAUUAUUAAACUUAUCCAUGAAUCCAAGGAGAGAAUCAAAGACAUCAUCUGAAUCGUUAAUCACCAUCAUUGAAAUAUCCUUAAGGAGUUGAAAGUUAUCAGAAUCACUAAAUGAGUCUCCCCAGGCUGUCAGGGCUUGUUUCACAAAAUAAUCUGCAGUUGUUGUUAAUCUAACUUUGUCUGGAACCCUAUUCUUCCAAUUUCCUUUAUUUGGUCCAUCUCUUCUAUAAUCGUUGUGCUCUACAUUGUGCAUUGGACAAUCCUUGAUAAAGUUAAUAAUAUUUACGCAGUUAUGACAUAAGUCAUUACCUGUAGUUCAUAUUUUAGAGUUGUCUCUUCUUUGAAAACCCUCAUUUUUCCUUAACCUUGAGAAAUCUCUUGGUCAUGUAUGUCAUAUCUUCAUCUUCUUCACAGACUUCACCUUUGGCUGCCUUGACAGCCAAAGUCUUCUCUUUCUUGGGUUCUUUCUUAUUUUGCUCUUGCUGCUUCUUCAUUUCAUAUAUUUUUAGCUUUCCUAUGAUCUCAUCUAUUACUUCUCUCAUAGAAAUAUGUGGAUCAUCCAAGAUAACAUCCAUUAACUCACUAUCUUCCGGCAUUAUAAAAUCAUACAUUCUUAUUUUUCACCAUAUAUAUUAUUGAUAUUGAAUCUUUGGAGUCUAAUGGUGGAUGAUCCUUCUUUUAGGUUCGGUGGAACAACCAUUUUUGAGUUGGAUCCUCUAUAGGUGUUAACUUUUUAGAGAGAGUUAACUCUGAUACCAAUUGAUAAAAUGUAUGAGUCUACUAAGUACAAUAAGACCUAGUCCCUAAGCUAUAAGUACAACAUAAUAUAAAUGGAAAGAAAGCCAGUGCAACAAUGUAAAAAACACACCAAGUUUAUGUGGAAACUUCCUUGCUAAAGGAAAGUAAGAACCACGACCUGCCAUCAGGAUUUUCAAACUUCAUUAUUCUUCGAGCUUACAAACUCCUAUAAUCACCAACUCUUAUAAUAACUCUAUUACAAGAAAAGUGUCAUAGCUCUAGCACACUUACAACUGACUAACUCUAGUCACAGAUCCGAGGCAGCUCUACCCAGGAUUCAACACCACAAACAAUGAGAACAAACACUUAACCAACUUACAAACAACUCGAACAACUAACUCUAUCUACUUUGACUCGAGCUAAGACCUGGACAAGCUACACACCCACUAUCCCUUAUAAUUAGGAUUAGAUUUACAAUAUGAGAGUAAGGCCACAAAAACUCAACACACUACAAGACUUUAAAUGAGCACAUGAUCAAGCCCCUUGUAUGAGUUGUGUUCAAUGGAUGGCUUUUGUUGUGGAGAAGACAAAGAUUGAUAUUUUGCAAAAACUAGGUUUUGUUGUAUGUAAAUGA
rnacentral:lncRNA from 1 species